GUCAAUGUAGCUCAGUUGGUCAGAGCGCGGGAUUCAUAACCCCGAGGUCGGUGGUUCAAUUCCACUCAUUGACACCA
rnacentral:tRNA from 1 species